rnacentral:rRNA from 1 species
CAGUCGCCACGGUAAUACGUAGGGUGCAAGCGUUACUCGGAAUUACUGGGCGUAAAGCGUGCGUAGGUGGUGGUUUAAGUCCGUUGUGAAAGCCCUGGGCUCAACCUGGGAAUUGCAGUGGAUACUGGGUCACUAGAGUGUGGUAGAGGAUAGUGGAAUUUCCGGUGUAGCAGUGAAAUGCGUAGAGAUCGGAAGGAACAUCUGUGGCGAAGGCGACUAUCUGGGCCAACACUGACACUGAGGCACGAAAGCGUGGGGAGCAAACAGGAUUAGAUACCCGUGUAGUCCCUGUCUCUUAUAC